GAAACUUACAAGGAUUCCCCUAGUAACGGCGAGCGAACCGGGAAUAGCC
rnacentral:rRNA from 2 species